rnacentral:rRNA from 1 species
GGAUAACUUACCCUUAGGACUGGGAUAACUCUGGGAAACUGGGGAUAAUACUGGAUAUUAGGCUAUGCCUGGAAUGGUUUGCCUUUGAAAUGUUUUUUUCGCCUAAGGAUAGGUCUGCGGCUGAUUAGGUCGUUGGUGGGGUAAUGGCCCACCAAGCCGAUGAUCGGUACGGGUUGUGAGAGCAAGGGCCCGGAGAUGGAACCUGAGACAAGGUUCCAGACCCUACGGGGUGCAGCAGGCGCGAAACCUCCGCAAUGUACGAAAGUGCGACGGGGGGAUCCCAAGUGUUAUGCUUUUUUGUAUGACUUUUCAUUAGUGUAAAAAGCUUUUAGAAUAAGAGCUGGGCAAGACCGGUGCCAGCCGCCGCGGUAACACCGGCAGCUCGAGUGGUAGCUGUUUUUAUUGGGCCUAAAGCGUUCGUAGCCGGUUUGAUAAGUCUUUGGUGAAAGCUUGUAGCUUAACUAUAAGAAUUGCUGGAGAUACUAUUAGACUUGAAGUCGGGAGAGGUUAGAGGUACUACCGGGGUAGGGGUGAAAUCCUAUAAUCCUGGGAGGACCACCUGUGGCGAAGGCGUCUAACUGGAACGAUCUUGGCGGUGAGUAACGAAAGCCAGGGGCGCGAACCGGAUUAGAUACCCGGGUAGUCCUGGCCGUAAACGAUGUGGACUUGGUGUUGGAAUGGCUUUGAGUUGUUCCGGUGC